UACGUAGGGUGCAAGCGUUGUCCGGAAUUAUUGGGCGUAAAGAGCUCGUAGGCGGUUUGUUGCGUCGGCUGUGAAAUCCCGAGGCUCAACCUCGGGUCUGCAGUCGAUACGAGCAAACUAGAGUGUUGCAGGGGAGACUGGAAUUCCUGGUGUAGCGGUGAAAUGCGCAGAUAUCAGGAGGAACACCGGUGGCGAAGGCGGGUCUCUGGGCCGAUACUGACGCUGAGAAGCGAAAGCAUGGGGAGCGAACAGG
rnacentral:rRNA from 1 species